CUUCUAAUAUCGAUACAGUCAACCCAAAUACGAAUGGAAAUUAUUCUUACAUCCAAAGGUUUUCUGACAACAAACUCAAAUCUAAAAAGCCUAGAAAAGUACAAAGACUUCUUCGUUGUUUGAAAUGCAAAUGUUGGUCGAAGAAAAGGAAAACUAGUGUUGAUAGCAAAAUUAAGUCUGAAAAACAAGCAACAGCCCCUCCUACUACUAAAAUUAACAAGAAGAAUAAUACAAAAACACUUAAGGAUUCGAG
rnacentral:lncRNA from 1 species